UACGGGGGGAGCAAGCGUUGUUCGGAUUUACUGGGCGUAAAGGGCGGGUAGGCGGCCACCGCAAGUCAGUUGUGAAAUCUCUGGGCUUAACCAGAAAGGUCAACUGAUACUGCGGGGCUAGAGUGCAGAAGGGGCAACUGGAAUUCUCGGUGUAGCGGUGAAAUGCGUAGAUAUCGAGAGGAACACCUGCGGCGAAGGCGGGUUGCUGGGCUGACACUGACGCUGAACUGCGAAAGCUAGGGGAGCGAACGGG
rnacentral:rRNA from 1 species